CUUCGCAAGAGAUGCCGUGGAUGAAUGCAUAAACGACGACAACGACAGUGUGACUAGGCUACGAGCCCGCCACUGGAGCCCGCUCGCAUUUGAACAAUACAGUCACAACAUCAACAGCGUGCACAUCGAACGGAAGUCUUCGCAAGAGAUGCCGUGGAUGAAUGCAUAAACGACGACAACGACAGUGUGACUAGGCUACGAGCCCGCCACUGGAGCCCGCUCGCAUUUGAACAAUACAGUCACAACAUCAACAGCGUGCACAUCGAACGGAAGUCUUCGCAAGAGAUGCCGUGGAUGAAUGCAUAAACGACGACAACGACAGUGUGACUAGGCUACGAGCCCGCCACUGGAGCCCGCUCGCAUUUGAACAAUACAGUCACAACAUCAACAGCGUUAGUUACGCAUUUACAUUCAAUAAAUCGUGGACGUCAAAAUAGAAAAUUCCGUUAAAGAUUUUAACUUUAAAGUCGUGAAUUCACUAUUCUUUUUACUUGACGAAGUGCGUUCGCAGGUGCACAUCAAACAGAAAUCUUCGCAAGAGAUGCCGUGGAUGAAUGCGUGAACGACGACAACGACAGUGUGACUAGGCUACGAGCACGCCACUGGAGCCCGCUCGCAU